CAUCGUGAGGUGGAAUCUGAAAGAAGGUGGAGGCAAAGUUCCGGUCUGACGUACAGAAAUCACGUAUGAGGCUCGUAAGAAUAUGGAUGAAUGUGCCAAACAACAUAAAAUCCUAAUGACUGUGGAAUAUUCAAAUGAGUAAACGUGGCAGAUAUAUGGAAUGAAAGAUAU
rnacentral:ncRNA from 1 species